rnacentral:lncRNA from 1 species
UGGCCACGUCUCUCUCUACUGCAAAUAAGGUAGUUCUUCUGUCUUCACCAUGAAGCAAACACGAGUUUUGACAGAAGAGACGAACACACACAGACAAACACAAUCUUUUGACAGAAGAGACUAACACACACAAACUCUCUACGAUUCUCUCUCAAAGAAGGUACAAAGAUCCAUAAUUAGUAUGUCUUAAAUAUAUAUUUUUACUUAAAUCUAACCGUAGUUUUACACACGGGGUCUCUCAGCCAGAGAGAAUGAAGAUAUACAACGUUCACCCUUAUAGGGGAAUAGUUCGAUAACUUAUUUUUGUUUUUAGUCACAAGUUUUGGACUUAAGGUGGCUAAUAAAGCAGUCGGAGAGUUACCGGACGAUUGAUGUCAGAGAUUUGUCCAG